rnacentral:rRNA from 1 species
AACGAACGCUGGCGGCAGGCUUAACACAUGCAAGUCGAGCGGAGAUGAGGUGCUUGCACCUUAUCUUAGCGGCGGACGGGUGAGUAAUGCUUAGGAAUCUGCCUAUUAGUGGGGGACAACAUUCCGAAAGGAAUGCUAAUACCGCAUACGCCCUACGGGGGAAAGCAGGGGAUCUUCGGACCUUGCGCUAAUAGAUGAGCCUAAGUCGGAUUAGCUAGUUGGUGGGGUAAAGGCCUACCAAGGCGACGAUCUGUAGCGGGUCUGAGAGGAUGAUCCGCCACACUGGGACUGAGACACGGCCCAGACUCCUACGGGAGGCAGCAGUGGAGAAUAUUGGACAAUGGGCGGAAGCCUGAUCCAGCCAUGCCGCGUGUGUGAAGAAGGCCUUUUGGUUGUAAAGCACUUUAAGCGAGGAGGAGGCUACCUGGAUUAAUACUCUAGGAUAGUGGACGUUACUCGCAGAAUAAGCACCGGCUAACUCUGUGCCAGCCGCCGCUGUAACAC